UACGUAGGGUGCGAGCGUUAAUCGGAAUUACUGGGCGUAAAGCGUGCGCAGGCGGUUCGUUGUGUCGGUGGUGAAAGCCCCGGGCUUAACCUGGGAACUGCAUCCGAUACGGCGGGACUGGAGUGUGGGAGAGGUUGGUGGAAUUCCCAGUGUAGAGGUGAAAUUCGUAGAUAUUGGGAAGAACACCGGUGGCGAAGGCGGCCAACUGGACCACAACUGACGCUGAGGCGCGAAAGCGUGGGGAGCAAACAGG
rnacentral:rRNA from 1 species